CCUAAAGAACACUUCCCUUCCGCAGAGGUCCGUUUCGUCAAUAAUCUCCUCGAAAGACCUUCCUCCAUAAAUCCUAAAGAAGCGUCUUCUCUUGCCGCUUGGGCUCUGGUGGUACGAUUUUGCAGGGAUUGGAUUUCUUGGGCUUGAACAGCUAGGACAAGGCAUUGGGUCACACAUUUGUUUCGACAUUUCUGAGGAUUCUGAGAUCAUUGAGGUCGAAAAUUUCACCAUUAUGUGUCUCUGUGAUUUCCUGGAAUGAUGCACCAGCCUCUGGAGUUCCCUCCAAGUAAAUUGAUUGGCCACUUUGAGAAGUACCAGACCUGUUCCUGAAAGUGCACAUGUGAAAGAAGUUAUAUUGUUAAUGGAGACUAACGCUUGUACUGUGGAUGUCUUCGUAUGGAUAAGCUUUAUACUGUGGAUCCAAUUGGGCAUUCUAGAGGUUUGGCUUUAUCAUGGCAGAAUUAUAUUUCUCUUAAUUCAUUAUUCUCCUCAGAUAGAUUCUUGGAUACUUUGUUGACAUAUGGUGCUCAGAAUUUCUACAUGAGUUGUGUAUGUGGUGAUCCCAUUAUCCAAUCAAAAGAAAUUUUGGGAUAAAUUAGUCUCAAUCGGUGCAUCUAGACAUACUGAUUGGCUUGUUUAUGGGGAUUCCAAUUCCUUUCUUACUUAGCAAGUGAAGAAAGGUAGAAAUUGCACUUGUGAUAGGGAUAAGGCACAAUUUCGUGAUAUGAUACAUUCUUGGCAAUCAUGGUCUUACAUUCACUUGGGAGUUAUAAGAGGUUAGGUAUUGCUAAUCUUAAAAUCCUGUUGUAUAGAGCAAACUAUCAAACCAUGCAUGGAGGGUAACCUUUUCUAAUGUUGCUAUUUUUUCCAAGCCUGCAAUUGGAUCUGAUCACUAACGUUUACUCAUUGAUAUGGAUGGGGGAAGAUUCAAUGGUAGACGUCCCUUCGGUUGAGUCCAUUUUGUUUCAUCAUCUAGAUUGUAGGUUAAUUGCUACUACCACUUGGUCCCAUUCAUCAGAAAACACAACUGCAUCUAUUUUUCAAGAUAAAUUUACAAAAUGUAUUAUAUCUGACAGAACAAGGGGUUUGUGGAAAUAGACAUCUCUAAAUUAGAUCUUUGAUGUAUAAAAUUUAGAGUUUACGGAGGAUUCCUAUGUCUGAUCAUAUCAAAUUCCAAAUUGAGACUCUUACCACUUUAUAUGAAUGAAGAAUUGGACUUAGAGGAGGAAUUGUGAAAGCAGCAGAAGUCUCGUAUUACAUGGUUGUAGGAGGAUGAUAAGAACACCAAGUUCUUCCAUGCCACUACAUUGCAAAGGAGAUAACAAAGUAUCCUCAAACUCAAAUUAUCUAAGGGGAAUUGGUCUCAAACAAUGGAUGAAGUUUAUUAGGAGUUAUUGUCACAUUUUGAUAUGACAUUUCGGUCUGAAGGUGUUGAUGAUAUAUCUUUCAAAUCUGUACUUACUGCAGUUCCUACAGUGGUUUCAUUAGAAACAAAUCCUAUGUUACGUCUUCUCACCAUCAAUUACGGAGAUGCCCGAUGCACUAUUUGCUUUGAGUCCACUUAAGUUCCCAGGACUGGAUGGAUUCCCUCUUGCUUUUUUUCCUCAGAGUUAUUAUGGUUUGAUUAAAGUAGAUUUAUUUGCUUUUGUUUCUAAGUUCUUUGAGAAGGGCAUGCUUAAUCUACUUUGAAUGACACUCUUAUAUGUCUUAUACCAAACACCCCAACCCGGAGACUACAGAUCAAUUUUGACCGAUUGUUUUGUGUACAUGGUUUUUAAAGUUAUCACAAAAAUCAUGGCAUUGAGAUUGAAAUUGGAUUUGGAUGAGAUUACCUCCUCAUAUCAAUCAGCUUUUUGUUCCUAAUAGAAUCAUCUCUCACAAAAUAUUCAUUUCUCUUAAGUUAUUUCUGUUAGAAUAUGUUUAAGUGUGCUGCCGGGGCACAAUAGGGUUUUCCCCCCUCCACUGACCCAAUUUAGUGUGGGCCGGCUAGAUGGGGGGACAUACUUGUAAUUUCAGUUCUUAUAAAUAAGAUGGCUUGUGUGAUCAGUUAGAUCAUUCAAGCAUUCUCUCCAUUCAUUCUGUUAACAUGGUAUCAGAGCUUUUUUUAAUCUAGGGUUUUCAGCCUCCCUUCUUCUCCUCUUCCCAAAAUCGCGAGCCCCAUUCUCUCUCAUCUUCCAUCUUCUUCAUAAGCCUCCAUCUUCUCCCACCUUUGCUUUCCUAAUUACCUAUAGGACAGCCCUAAUAGGUGAUUCUAUGAAUCUAGCUGAUGUCCUACACAUUACAUUAAUGUUUUAAACCAAAAACCCUUACAAGAAUCAAUUAGGGUUCUUCCCCUCUCUGCGAUUUUUGAUUCUUCCUUUCUUGGAGUUUGUUUCUUCCUACUUUUAAGAACAAAUCUCCACCUAUUGAUGAUCAAGUACAACACCCUGGAAGGACUCAUCACUGUUUGCAAGAUUGAUAUCUAUCUUCACCUGUGAUUUCCCAAAAAUUAGAUUAGAGUUUUUUCUCCCAAAACCCUGGUUCCAUCGAUUUUUAGGUUCCCUCCCUUAGAAUCAAUUGAGAUUUGGAGGAAAACUUCCUCAACUCUACAGAGGAGUUCGACCAACCUUGUGGCUCUAGCUGCGAAGGUUGUGUAUGUGACCCUCUUUGAAGAUUUUAAGGUUUUUUGCUAAAACCCUAAUUGGGCCAUUUCAUCAGUUCUUCAUUAGAAUCAGAUAAAACUUGGAGGAGUGCUUCACUGCCCUUACUGGGAAAUUCAAUCCAAGUAUAGGUCGUUUCUGACGGCUGUUUCUGAAGAUCUAGUAUUUCUCCCACUUAUUGUCGACUUCUUCCUAAUAUCAUCAUGUCUGGAGUAACUAUUAUAUCUACUGCUAUCUCAGACUCUGAUGGGCAAGGUCGCAAUGAAUAUAUCACAUUUGGUGCUUGCUCUGUGAAAUUGGAGGGAACUAAUUACCUCAUCUGGUCUGAAACCACUUAUCUUAUGAUUGCUGGCAGAUGUCUCAUUGGUCACAUCACAGGAAAAUCAAAGAAACUCUCUGAGGAGAGUACCCCUCAGGACAAAUGGAUCACCAAUGACUCUCUGGUAAUGGCUUUUUCUAAUCAACUCUAGACAUCAUUCUAUUUCUAGAGGAGUCUUGUUGUUAGAAACUGCUUCUCAGAUUUGGGUUGCUGCCAAAGAAUCCUAUGGACAAAUAGGAAAUGAUGCUCAAAUAUUUGACCUUCGCAAGAAUGUGCGAACCACUACUCAACAUGACCUCUCUGUGUCCAAAUAUUGUGUUGAAUUCAAACUUUGUGGACUAUUAUUCCUCCAGUGCUGAAGAUAUUGCUCCUUAUACAAAAUAUGUGGACAAAAUUAGGGUGUAUGAUUUUUUGGAUGGUUUGAAUGUUGAGUAUGAUCAGAUUCGUAUCUAGGUACUUGGUAGAUCUCCCUUCUCUACUCUGAGUAGUCCUUUGCCCUGGUUCAUACGGAGGAGUGUCGUCGUAAUUCUAUACUUCACACUCCCCCUACUGAGAAAUCAGCCCUAUAGACUGGUUCUACUACUUCUGAGGGGGCUGCCCGUACUAGUGACAUUGCCAAGGAGAUAGUGAAAUGUGAACGCUGCAACAAAGAUAGUGAAAUGUGAACGCUGCAACAAACUAUACCAUACCAAAACAACAUGUGGAAUCUUCAUGGGAAACCAGUUGAUUUUGAAGCUAAGUGUGCUCGUGGUAAAUCCAAGAACGAGGUCCAUUAUGCUGAAAUUGUUGAGAAACCAUCUACAACUGAUAUUGGUCUCUCCCAAGAGGAGCUUCAGGCUUCCAAUUUAUCAGCACCUGCCAAUUCUGUCCCUUCAGGUUCCAACUUUGCUCUUUCAGGUAUCUUUUUUGAUGGGCAUUGCGCAUCGGUAGUCUCCAGUCUUUAGAUCAUUGACACCAGUGCCAUUGAUCAUAUAACUGGUUCUUCCAACCUUUUCCACCAGUAUUCACCCACCUCAGACAGAGAAAAAGUGAGGGACACAGAUGGCACCCUAUCUUUUGUCUCUGGAAAGGUUUCCAUUCAGUGUUCUACUUCUCUCACUUUAAAUUUAGUUUACAUAGCCCUAAUUUUACUACUAAUUUGCUAUCUAUUAGUAGCCUUACUAGGGACUUGAACGGUCAAGUAACCUUUUUUCCUUCCCACUGCAUUUUUCAAGAUCUGGCAGCAGGGAAGACGAUUGGAUGUGGUAAGGUGCAGAGUGGUCUCUAUUUGCUUGAUGAUGGUUGUCUUCCUAUAGCUGCGGUUUUCACUACUCCUCAUUAGCAACACUCCGUUUCUAGGGUUCCGACAGCAGCAAAAAAGAAAAAAAAAUAAAAAAAAGAGAAGAUCCUUCGAAACCCUUCCCUGUUUUAGGGUUCUGUCGAGUGAAAAAAAGAAAAGAAAAAGAAAGAACAACACAACAGAGAGAAAGAAGGACAGAAGAAGCAAGGAGAUAAAAUUAUUGAAGGAGAAGAAGCCAUACCCAAAACUUCUUCUCAGUUGACCCUUCUCUAGGGUUCCGCCAGCAAAAAAAAAAAAAAAAAGAAAGGAGGAAGUAGCA